AACGAACGCUGGCGGCGCGCCUAAUACAUGCAAGUCGAGCGAGAAGACGUAGCAAUACGUUUGUAAAGCGGCGAACGGGUGAGGAAUACAUGGGUAACCUACCCUCGAGUGGGGAAUAACUAGCCGAAAGGUUAGCUAAUACCGCGUACGCUCCUUGGACUUCGGUUCAGGGAGGAAAGCGAUACCGUGGGUAUCGCGCUCUUGGAUGGGCUCAUGUCCUAUCAGCUUGUUGGUGAGGAACGGCUCACCAAGGCUUCGACGGGUAGCUGGUCUGAGAGGACGAUCAGCCACACUGGCACUGCGACACGGGCCAGACUCCUACGGGAGCAGCAGUAAGGAAUAUUGCGCAAUGGGCGAAAGCCUGACGCAGCGACGCCGCGUGGGGGAUGAAGGUCUUCGGAUUGUAAACCCCUUUCGGGAGGGAAGAUGGAACGAGCAAUCGUUCGGACGGUACCUCCAGAAGCAGCCGCGGCUAACUUCGUGCC
rnacentral:rRNA from 1 species